UACCAAUUCUUCUGUUCACCUAUUGCAAAUGUAGUUAACCUGUCAGCAGAGAUAGAUUGUGGAUUGAUUAUAUUUCUAUUUAAUAUUUACAGUUUUAUUAGGUGUUAUUGCAGUAUUUUCCCAGUCAAAGAGUAUUUCCUAGACCUCUACUACUGACCUGUACAAUUCAUACUGUGGAUUUUGCUUACAGGCCAGCUCUCAGGUUUAUUACAAUCGACUUUUUAUUACCUCUGUUUUCCUUUUUGUGUUUCAAAUUGUUUUAAGCAAUGGGUCCACUAACUGCAAUUAUCUUGCUGGCUGCUAUGCUACUUCAAUCAUCUGCUGCACAGGAGCACGAUCUUCAGUACGCUUUCUUUAGUCGUUCUGGGCCUCAAAACCACCAACUGAUUAUUGACCAACACAAUGAAAUACGGAGAUCUGUCGUUCCCCCAGCCACCAACAUGCU